rnacentral:rRNA from 1 species
UACGUAGGUGGCAAGCGUUGUCCGGAAUUAUUGGGCGUAAAGCGCGCGCAGGCGGUUUCUUAAGCCUGAUGUGAAAGCCCCCGGCUCAACCGGGGAGGGUCAUUGGAAACUGGGGAACUUGAGUGCAGAAGAGAAGAGCGGAAUUCCACGUGUAGCGGUGAAAUGCGUAGAGAUGUGGAGGAACACCAGUGGCGAAGGCGGCUCUUUGGUCUGUAACUGACGCUGAGGCGCGAAAGCGUGGGGAGCAAACAGG